rnacentral:tRNA from 1 species
GGAUUAUGGCUCAGUGGUACAGUGCUUGCCUAGCAUGUGUGAGGCACUGGGUUCAAUCCUCAGCACCA